GCAUUGGCAGUAUAGUGGUGAGCACAGCUGCUUUCCAAGCAGUUGACCUGGGUUCGAUUCCCAGCCACUGCA